rnacentral:rRNA from 1 species
CAGCAGCAGCCGCGGGAAUACGGAGGGGGCUAGCGUUGUUCGGAAUUACUGGGCGUAAAGCGCACGUAGGCGGCUUGGUAAGUUAGAGGUGAAAGCCCGGAGCUCAACUCCGGAAUUGCCUUUAAGACUGCCGAGCUAGCAGGUGAGAGAGGUAAGUGGAAUUCCGAGUGUAGAGGUGAAAUUCGUAGAUAUUCGGAAGAACACCAGUGGCGAAGGCGGCUUACUGGCUCAUACUGGACGCUGAGGUGCGAAAGCGUGGGGAGCAAACAGGAUUAGAUACCCCCGUAGUCCCUGUCUCUUAUAC